rnacentral:rRNA from 1 species
UGGCGGACGGGUGAGUAAAGUAUCGGAACGUGCCCAGUCGUGGGGGAUAACGUAGCGAAAGUUACGCUAAUACCGCAUACGAUCUAUGGAUGAAAGCGGGGGAUCGCAAGACCUCGCGCGAUUGGAGCGGCCGAUAUCAGAUUAGGUAGUUGGUGGGGUAAAGGCUCACCAAGCCGACGAUCUGUAGCUGGUCUGAGAGGACGACCAGCCACACUGGGACUGAGACACGGCCCAGACUCCUACGGGAGGCAGCAGUGGGGAAUUUUGGACAAUGGGCGCAAGCCUGAUCCAGCCAUGCCGCGUGCAGGAUGAAGGCCUUCGGGUUGUAAACUGCUUUUGUACGGAACGAAAAGGUUUGGCCUAAUACGCUGAACUCAUGACGGUACCGUAAGAAUAAGCACCGGCUAACUACGUGCCAGCAGCCGCGGUAAU